GACGAACGCUGGCGGCGUGCUUAACACAUGCAAGUCGAACGGAGAUAUCUUUCGGGAUAUCUUAGUGGCGAACGGGUGAGUAACGCGUGGGUAACCUACCCUUUUAUCGGGGAUAACUUGCCGAAAGGUGAGCUAAUACCGGAUGUGCUGUUUUGAUCACAUGAUCGAGAUAACAAAGGUGGCCUCUAUUUAUAAGCUACCGUAAAAGGAUGGACCCGCGUCUGAUUAGCUAGUUGGUGGGGUAACGGCCUACCAAGGCGACGAUCAGUAGCCGGCCUGAGAGGGUGAACGGCCACACUGGGACUGAGACACGGCCCAGACUCCUACGGGAGGCAG
rnacentral:rRNA from 1 species